CUUCCUAAAUUACCAUUGCAUAAUCCACCAACAAGCGUUAUGCGCUAAAAUGCUCAACAUGAAGGAGAUCAUGAAUGUUGCAACGAAGAUCGCCUGUUCUAUUCGCGCCAGAUCUCUUCAAAGACGGUUAUUUCGUGCACAUCUGGAGAAGGCUGACUGCGACCACUCUGAGUUGUUGCUACACACUGACGUGAGGUGGCUUAGUCGAGGGAAAUUCCUGCAAAGAUUUCGAGAGCUCUGUCCGGAGAUUAAGGAGUUUUUCCGUGUAGCUGGACAAGCAGAAUACAUGCAACUUAAUGACGGUCAGUGGCUGUUAGACUUGGCAUUUUUAAUCGAUCUGACAAACAUGUUGAAUGACCUUAAUCUAGAGCUGCAAGGAAAAGACAAAACAGUGAUCAACAUGAUCAGCUCAGUUAAUGCUUUCAAACGAAAGAUGCAACAUCUCUCUUUAAAGCUGCAGCGCCAUGAUUUGAUAAACUUUCAAAACCUGGCGUCAGAGCUGGAGAUGCAAGGGAUGGCCUGUUUGCAACUUGACAGUGCACGCUACACAGAGCAUAUUGACAAUUGUCUGUCAGAGUUUGACAAACGCUUUCAAGACUUUUCUUUGCUCGAGCCAGUCGCUACCUUCAUGUGCUAUCCUUUUCGGGAAGAUGCUGAGGUCGAUUCACUCGCAUCAAAAAUUGCAAAACUAUUUCACCUGAACUCUUCUGGAGUGGAAGAUGAGAUUUUGACACUACAAGCCGACAUUGAGCUGAAGUCCAGAGAUCAUGGACAGUUCUGGAACUUACUCACAGAAGUAAAGUACCCCAACAUGAGGAAAUGUGCUGCCUCUUUGACUGCAUUAUUCGGCUCCACUUAUUUAUGUGAGUCAUCAUUUUCCCACAUGAAGAUCAUUAAGUCCAAGUACCGUUCCACCAUGACUGAUGAACAUUUGGAAGUGUGUUUGAGGCUGGCCAUCAGCAGCUACUGUCCGGACUAUGCAUCCCUGGCUGAUUCAAUUCAGUGCAAGUCAUCAGAGUAAACUCAGACUGGAGCAGACGGGGAUCGAAUGACCAGCCUCGCGGUUAGUGGAUGACCUCAUCUAUCUCUUGAAGUAUAGCCACCCACUGAGUUUGAAGUAUGGAUCAGAUCCCCAUUCAAGAAUAUCAGGGUGCGAAGAUGCUUCCAAGGAAACCAUUAGUUUUCUUUGUCUUGCUGUGCGUCACUACCAUUGGAGUUUUUUCUAGAUCUUCAUGGAUUUUAACUGUGUACCAGGAUUCCUUCUUCCCUCAGAAUGGAAGUGUUUGUGCCUGCAACAAAUGUUUAAUGGAACAUGACCAAUGGCUUAGUGAACGUACGAAAGAAUCUCCUGAGCCAUUUUUAUCACCCACAAACAAUAUCUCAGAGGAUACAUUUAACUGGUGGAAGUGGACAAGGUGUUUCAGAUCUUCCCAACCAAAGUCAAUUUUACAAGAUCCAGCCCAGACCUUUGCAGGACUUGUGCUGUGGUUGGGAAUUCUGGCAAUCUCAAUGGAUCACACUAUGGACCACUGAUUGACUUUCAUGAUAUUGUCAUAAGGUGAGAGUAAAACACAAACACAGUAAAAGCUUUAAACCUUUUAAAGUCUUCAUGCAUG